rnacentral:tRNA from 1 species
GCCAUUAGCUCAGUUGGUAGAGCAUCUGACUUUUAAUCAGAGGGUCAGUGGUUCAAGUCCUCUGGCCGGCACCA